rnacentral:rRNA from 1 species
AUCGAACGCUGGCGGAAUGCUUUACACAUGCAAGUCGAACGGCAGCACGGGAGCUUGCUCCUGGUGGCGAGUGGCGAACGGGUGAGUAAUGCAUCGGAACGUACCUAUUAGUGGGGGAUAACUAUCCGAAAGGAUAGCUAAUACCGCAUACGUCCUGAGGGAGAAAGCGGGGGAUCGCAAGACCUCGCGCUAAUAGAGCGGCCGAUGUUGGAUUAGCUAGUUGGUGGGGUAAAGGCCUACCAAGGCGACGAUCCAUAGCUGGUCUGAGAGGAUGAUCAGCCACACUGGGACUGAGACACGGCCCAGAGUCCUACGGGAGGCAGCAGUGGGGAAUUUUGGACAAUGGGGGCAACCCUGAUCCAGCCAUUCCGCGUGAGUGAAGAAGGCCUUCGGGUUGUAAAGCUCUUUCGGCAGGAACGAAACGGUGGUUACUAAUACUAGCUACUAAUGACGGUACCUGAAGAAGAAGCACCGGCUAACUACGUGCCAGCCGCCGCAGUAA